rnacentral:rRNA from 1 species
UGAGGAAUAUUGGUCAAUGGACGCAAGUCUGAACCAGCCAAGUAGCGUGCAGGAUGACGGCCCUAUGGGUUGUAAACUGCUUUUAUAUGGGGAUAAAGUGGGGAACGUGUUCCCUUUUGCAGGUACCAUAUGAAUAAGGACCGGCUAAUUCCGUGCCAGCAGCCGCGGUAAUACGGAAGGUUCGGGCGUUAUCCGGAUUUAUUGGGUUUAAAGGGAGCGUAGGCCGUUUGGUAAGCGUGUUGUGAAAUGUAGGAGCUCAACUUCUAGAUUGCAGCGCGAACUGUCAGACGUGAGUGCGCACAACGUAGGCGGAAUUCAUGGUGUAGCGGUGAAAUGCUUAGAUAUAAUGAAGAACUCCGAUUGCGAAGGCAGCUUACGGGGGCGCAACUGACGCUGAAGCUCGAAGGUGCGGGUAUCGAACAGG